rnacentral:lncRNA from 1 species
AGCAGCCGCGCCAGCCUCAUGCCGAGUCCCGCUAGAGAAGCCACAGCCAGUACGCCAGGUUUCCCCGCGCCUCUGCCGAGUGGGUUGAAGGCAAAUACUUGAAGUUGCAAUCGAAGGUCAAGAAAAUGGAAUCAAGAGGUCACAAUCCUUCUCUGAUGAUGGCUUAGAAAGCUGGAAGACACUCAACAUUGAAUCCUGGGGCUCUGUGCCAUGCUUGCUAGGAGAAACAGCCACCAUGAGUCCAUCUUUCAGAUCUCAAGUGAACAGUCAUUCUCCAGCUGGGAUUGAGAACAAGGGGAAGCUGGCCAUAGAGCCAGGUGACCAAAGAUGGAAGACAAAGGGUGGGCUGUGAUUCCCAGAGCUCCAAGCCUUGUUCUGUCUUGUCACACCAACUGUUACUGAUGAACAGGUUUACAAUCUUUGAGGCCUGGCUGACUCAUGGAACAACUAGGACAAGAAACAAAGACAAAGAACACACACCUGACUGGACAGAGAUAAACCAAGAGCUGAGAGUUUUGGAAACAAGGCUGGAGCUGAGGAAAAGGACUGGGAACACGAACCUGUACAAACAACAAAUUCUUACAACAGAAAACAAGCCACUCCUGGCCAUCAAGAAACCCACAAAUCUCAGAAGCAAAAGCAAAACAAAUGAAAAUACAAACCAAAUAGUCUCUAUUACCUUCAUG